rnacentral:misc_RNA from 1 species
AAGUCGUAACAAGGUUUCCGUAGGUGAACCUGCGGAAGGAUCAUUAAAAAAGGGUCGUAAGACCUAUUUUUAAACACUAUCGCCGCCUAUCAUCUAUGGGUAGGAUACUCUUGUCUAUAGGUGAGAUGGAGGAGGUAGGGUUUUUUAAAAUCCAAUUAUUAUUAUAAAAUAUAUCGUCUAAUGACGAACCAAAAAAAAUUAUUAAAACUUUCAACAAUGGAUCUCUUGGCUCUC